UACGAAGGGGGCUAGCGUUGCUCGGAAUCACUGGGCGUAAAGCGCACGUAGACGGCUUCUUAAGUCAGGGGUGAAAUCCUGGAGCUCGACUCCAGAACUGCCUUUGAUACUGGGAGGCUCGAGUCCGGGAGAGGUGAGUGGAACUGCGAGUGUAGAGGUGAAAUUCGUAGAUAUUGGGAAGAACACCAGUGGCGAAGGCGGCUCACUGGACCGGAACUGACGCUGAGGCGCGAAAGCGUGGGGAGCAAACGGG
rnacentral:rRNA from 1 species